AGGAUGCGGGCCUGGCUGUGAGGUUUCAAAUAGAAGUUUGAGAAUCCCUUAAAAACUCUACGGGACCAUCUGAUAAUUUGAAUUAAGGAUUACUCAAGUGAACUGGGCAAUGGUGGUAUACACCUUUAAUCCAAGCACUCAUGGAAGCAGAGGCAGGCAAAUCUCUGUGAGUUCGAGGUCAGCAUGGUCUACAAGAACGGAGGACAAGUGGACUCGUGGUGUUUGCGACCUAGUCUCUCUGACACGCACUUUGGUAGAAAGUAUCUUAAAGGUCAUAGCGGCACCUUCUUACUUGGUAAUGGCUGAAGAUGAAUGUACAGAAAAUACAAGAUCAGAAUGGAGUGCUUGAAAGCUGAUCUCCAAGGUGCCCUCUGAGAAAUGAAAAAGGAGGUUUGUGAGACUGAGCCUACUCACACGAGGUGCUAGCUGCAUCGCGCCACUGCUUCCGAGUAUGAUCCGCCUGAUCCCAGACCCCUAGAGGAAAUUUGUGUAUGCAUACUGUACGUGAACUUUAGAUAAAUAAAUAAACACACGGAGCAGCUUCCAGAUAAUUGAAAAUGAAUGAAGGAGUAAGCCAAAAGAAAACCAUUUCCCCAGGGAUACGCAGCGAAGGUGGCAGCAUACUGCCCACCUACUGCUGCUUCCUGACAGACUUCAGUAAGGAGAAGGGUAUCACUUGCCUGUGCCUAUGAUAGUUUGGAUGCUUGAUACUCAAGAGUGAUGUUGGCUCGUGAACAAGAGUAUGAAGAAGGAGCUGUUGUAUGUUGGAAUACUGGCAUCAUCGCUGGGCUGUUAGAAAAAGUAUUUGAGAAUACUGCCCACCCAGGCUAUGACAGGCUUCAGUUCGAUCGCUAGCUGGAAACAUGAAGAAAAUCCACAGUGAUGGAAACCUUUUCAAGUUGAACUUCUGUCAAGCAAUUGCAGGAGCUUGUGGUUUUGUGGUAAAAUUCGUCAAAGAAGUUGUGGAAGUGGCUAAGUGCUGUAAGUUGAAAUGGCUACAACAGGGUCCACAGGGCUGUGUGAAGGAUGUCUCCUUCGUACCCAUCAGUUUUUGAUCUCCUCUGAAGUCCACAAAGGACUGUCCA